UUAUUUAAGAUAAAUGUGAAAGCUGCUAAUAUCAGUGGCUAUGAUCAAGUGUUCACUGUGAUGAAGUUAUGUGACGAUGAAGAAGUUGUUGGCAAAAACCUACCCAAGAAUUAUAAUGGCAAUUCCUCAGUGAAUGUGACGUUUAUUAAAAGGAUUAAUAUGUACAUUCAGAUUUUUAGCUAAUGCCACAUCAACUGUACCCCAUAACACUUACGUAAAAUUGUGUUAACACUGUUUACAGCAGAAUGGGUGCAGUAACUCAGUUGAUAUAUUUGGGAGCGUCACUAAUCUUAAUACUGACACUGACCCUGACCCUCAGUAUACUAUGGAUGCUAGAGACGAUUCCAUAUCCAGUUUUAAGUAUAAAACCCCUGCUAAAAGAGUUACAAAUGGCUUGAGAUCUGGCUCUAGCAGUGCAAACCAGAAUGAAUAUAGGGGACAACUCUCAACAAAUAAAUUUAGCCGAAAGAAUGCCAAGAAGCAAAAAUAUAUAAUGAUAGAUGGAGAAAAUUGAGUUUUUAAAUUUGUGUUCAAGC